rnacentral:rRNA from 1 species
AUUGAACGCUGGCGGCAGGCUUAACACAUGCAAGUCGAGCGGAGUGAUGGUGCUUGCACUAUCACUUAGCGGCGGACGGGUGAGUAAUGCUUAGGAAUCUGCCUAUUAGUGGGGGACAACAUCUCGAAAGGAUGCUAAUACCGUAUACGUCCUACGGGAGAAAGCAGGGGCUCACUUGUGACCUUGAGCUAAUAGAUGAGCCUAAGUCGGAUUAGCUAGUUGGUGGGGUAAAGGCCUACCAAGGCGACGAGCUGUAGCGGGUCUGAGAGGAUGGUCCGCCACACUGGGACUGAGACACGGCCCAGACUCCUACGGGAGGCAGCAGUGGGGAAUAUUGGACAAUGGGGGGAACCCUGAUCCAGCCAUGCCGCGUGUGUGAAGAAGGCCUUAUGGUUGUAAAGCACUUUAAGCGAGGAGGAGGCUCUUUUGGUUAAUACCCAAGAUGAGUGGACGUUACUCGCAGAAUAAGCACCGGCUAACUCUGUGCCAGCAGCCGCGGUAA